AGUGAACGCUGGCGGUAGGCCUAACACAUGCAAGUCGAACGGCAGCACAGUAAGAGCUUGCUCUUACGGGUGGCGAGUGGCGGACGGGUGAGGAAUACAUCGGAAUCUACUUUUUCGUGGGGGAUAACGGAGGGAAACUUACGCUAAUACCUCAUACGACCUACGGGUGAAAGCAGGGGAUCUUCGGACCUUUCGCGAUUGAAUGAGCCGAUGUCGGAUUAGCUAGUUGGCGGGGUAAAGGCCCACCAAGGCGACGAUCCGUAGCUGGUCUGAGAGGAUGAUCAGCCACACUGGAACUGAGACACGGUCCAGACUCCUACGGGAGGCAGCAGUGGGGAAUAUUGGACAAUGGGCGCAAGCCUGAUCCAGCCAUACCGCGUGGGUGAAGAAGGCCUUCGGGUUGUAAAGCCCUUUUGUUGGGAAAGAAAAGCAGCAGGUUAAUACCCCGCUGUUCUGACGGUACCCAAAGAAUAAGCACCGGCUAACUUCGUG
rnacentral:rRNA from 1 species